ACACUCACUUCAACAGCAUAUAUACUAAAAUUAGAAGAUAUGGAGAAGAUUAGCAUGGCACCUACACAAGGAUGACACAAAAAUUCGUGAAGAGUUUCACAUAUUU
ensembl:snRNA U6 U6 spliceosomal RNA